AACGAACGCUGGCGGCAGGCUUAACACAUGCAAGUCGAGCGCCCCGCAAGGGGAGCGGCAGACGGGUGAGUAACGCGUGGGAACCUACCCUUUUCUACGGAAUAACGCAUGGAAACGUGUGCUAAUACCGUAUACGCCCUUAGGGGGAAAGAUUUAUCGGAGAAGGAUGGGCCCGCGUUGGAUUAGCUAGUUGGUGGGGUAAAGGCCUACCAAGGCGACGAUCCAUAGCUGGUCUGAGAGGAUGAUCAGCCACAUUGGGACUGAGACACGGCCCAAACUCCUACGGGAGGCAGCAGUGGGGAAUAUUGGACAAUGGGCGCAAGCCUGAUCCAGCCAUGCCGCGUGAGUGAUGAAGGCCCUAGGGUUGUAAAGCUCUUUCACCGGAGAAGAUAAUGACGGUAUCCGGAGAAGAAGCCCCGGCUAACUUCGUGCCAGCCGCCGCGGUAAAAC
rnacentral:rRNA from 1 species